GAUUAAGUUAUUAAGGGCGCACGGUGGAUGCCUUGGCACUAGAAGCCGAUGAAGGACGUUACUAACGACGAUAUGCUUUGGGGAGCUGUAAGUAAGCUUUGAUCCAGAGAUUUCCGAAUGGGGAAACCCAGCAUGAGUUAUGUCAUGUUAUCGAUAUGUGAAUACAUAGCAUAUCAGAAGGCACACCCGGAGAACUGAAACAUCUUAGUACCCGGAGGAAGAGAAAGAAAAUUCGAUUCCCUUAGUAGCGGCGAGCGAAACGGGAAGAGCCCAAACCAACAAGCUUGCUUGUUGGGGUUGUAGGACACUCUAUACGGAGUUACAAAGGACGACAUUAGACGAAUCAUCUGGAAAGAUGAAUCAAAGAAGGUAAUAAUCCUGUAGUC
rnacentral:rRNA from 1 species